GAUGAACGCUGGCGGCGUGCCUAAUACAUGCCAGUCGAGCGAACAGAUAAGGAGCUUGCUCCUUUGACGUUAGCGGCGGACGGGUGAGUAACACGUGGGUAACCUACCUAUAAGACUGGAAUAACUCCGGGAAACCGGGGCUAAUGCCGGAUAACAUUUAGAACCGCAUGGUUCUAAAGUGAAAGAUGGUUUUGCUAUCACUUAUAGAUGGACCCGCGCCGUAUUAGCUAGUUGGUAAGGUAACGGCUUACCAAGGCAACGAUACGUAGCCGACCUGAGAGGGUGAUCGGCCACACUGGAACUGAGACACGGUCCAGACUCCUACGGGAGGCAGCAGUAGGGAAUCUUCCGCAAUGGGCGAAAGCCUGACGGAGCAACGCCGCGUGAGUGAUGAAGGUCUUCGGAUCGUAAAACUCUGUUAUUAGGGAAGAACAAAUGUGUAAGUAACUGUGCACGUCUUGACGGUACCUAAUCAGAAAGCCACGGCUAACUACGUG
rnacentral:rRNA from 1 species